CACGAACGCUGGCGGCAGGCUUAACACAUGCAAGUCGAGCGCCCCGCAAGGGGAGCGGCAGACGGGUGAGUAACGCGUGGGAAUCUACCCAUCUCUACGGAAUAACGCAUGGAAACGUGUGCUAAUACCGUAUACGUCCUUCGGGAGAAAGAUUUAUCGGAGAUGGAUGAGCCCGCGUUGGAUUAGCUAGUUGGUGGGGUAAAGGCCUACCAAGGCGACGAUCCAUAGCUGGUCUGAGAGGAUGAUCAGCCACACUGGGACUGAGACACGGCCCAGACUCCGACUGGAGGCCACAGUGCGGAAGAUCGGACAAUUGGCGCAAGCCUGAUGCAGGCAUGCCGCGUGAGUGAUGAAGGUCCUAGGGUUGUAAAGCUCUUUCACCGGUGAAGAUAAUGACGGUAACCGGAGAAGAAGCCCCGGCUAACUUCGUGCCAGACGCCGCCGUAACAC
rnacentral:rRNA from 1 species